GGGUUGUGAGGUUAAGCGACUAAGCGUACACGGUGGAUGCCCUGGCAGUCAGAGGCGAUGAAGGGCGUGCUAAUCUGCGAUAAGCGCCGGUAAGGUGAUAUGAACCGUUAUAACCGGCGAUACCCGAAUGGGGAAACCCAGUGUGACUCGUCACACUAUCAUUAACUGAAUCCAUAGGUUAAUGAGGCGAACCGGGGGAACUGAAACAUCUAAGUACCCCGAGGAAAAGAAAUCAACCGAGAUUCCCCCAGUAGCGGCGAGCGAACGGGGAGGAGCCCAGAGCCUGAAUCAGCAUGUGUGUUAGUGGAAGCGUCUGGAAAGGCGCGCGAUACAGGGUGACAGCCCCGUACACAAAAGCGCAUGUGCUGUGAGCUCGAUGAGUAGGGCGGGACACGUGGUAUCCUGUCUGAAUAUGGGGGGACCAUCCUCCAAGGCUAAAUACUCCUGACUGACCGAUAGUGAACCAGUACCGUGAGGGAAAGGCGAAAAGAACCCCGGCGAGGGGAGUGAAAAAGAACCUGAAACCGUGUACGUACAAGCAGUGGGAGCCCCACCACCAAAGCAUUUGCUGUACCGCGUUGACGGAGCGAAGCGACGUCAAACCGAUAAAACAGCAGUGUAAAGUGAGCCGCAGGGCGCUUUGCGCGACAGCGCAAAGGCAGGCGGUUUCGCGUAGCGAAAGCGAAUGCUUUGGGGUGGGGUGACUGCGUACCUUUUGUAUAAUGGGUCAGCGACUUAUAUUCUGUAGCAAGGUUAACCGAAUAGGGGAGCCGGAGGGAAACCGAGUCUUAAUUGGGCGUUAAGUUGCAGGGUAUAGACCCGAAACCCGGUGAUCUAGCCAUGGGCAGGUUGAAGGUUGGGUAACACUAACUGGAGGACCGAACCGACUAAUGUUGAAAAAUUAGCGGAUGACCUGUGGCUGGGGGUGAAAGGCCAAUCAAACCGGGAGAUAGCUGGUUCUCCCCGAAAGCUAUUUAGGUAGCGCCUCGUGAAUUCAUCUCCGGGGGUAGAGCACUGUUUCGGCUAGGGGGCCAUCCCGGCUUACCAACCCGAUGCAAACUGCGAAUACCGGAGAAUGUUAUCA
rnacentral:rRNA from 1 species